rnacentral:rRNA from 1 species
AGGGUUCGAUCAUGGCUCAGGAUGAACGCUAGCGGCAGGCCUAACACAUGCAAGUAGAACGGUAACAGAGAGAGCUUGCUCUUUGCUGACGAGUUGCGAACGGGUGCGUAACGCGUAUGCAACCUACCCAUAACAGGGGGAUAGCCCAUAGAAAUGUGGAUUAAUACCCCAUAAUAUCAUAGAUUGGCAUCAUGACAUGAUUAAAACUCCGGUGGUUAUGGAUGGGCAUGCGUGACAUUAGCUAGUUGGUGAGGUAACUGCUCACCAAGGCGACGAUGUCCAGGGGUUCUGAGAGGAUGAUCCCCCACACUGGUACUGAGACACGGACCAGACUCCUACGGGAGGCAGCAGUGAGGAAUAUUGCGCAAUGGAGGAAACUCUGACGCAGCCAUGCCGCGUGCAGGAAGACUGCCCUAUGGGUUGUAAACUGCUUUUAUAUAGGAAGAACUACAGCUACGUGUAGCUGUUUGACGGUACUAUACGAAUAAGGACCGGCUAACUCCGUGCCAGCAGCCGCGGUAAUUC